AAAUUGAAGAGUUUGAUCAUAGCUCAGAUUGAACGCUGGCGGCAGGCCUAACACAUGCAAGUCGAACGGUAACAGGAAGCAGCUUGCUGCUUUGCUGACGAGUGGCGGACGGGUGAGUAAUGUCUGGGAAACUGCCCGAUGGAGGGGGAUAACUACUGGAAACGGUAGCUAAUACCGCAUAACGUCGCAAGACCAAAGAGGGGGACCUUAGGGCCUCUUGCCAUCGGAUGUGCCCAGAUGGGAUUAGCUAGUAGGUGGGGUAAUGGCUCACCUAGGCGACGAUCCCUAGCUGGUCUGAGAGGAUGACCAGCCACACUGGAACUGAGACACGGUCCAGACUCCUACGGGAGGCAGCAGUGGGGAAUAUUGCACAAUGGGCGCAAGCCUGAUGCAGCCAUGCCGCGUGUAUGAAGAAGGCCUUCGGGUUGUAAAGUACUUUCAGCGGGGAGGAAGGGAGUAAAGUUAAUACCUUUGCUCAUUGACGUUACCCGCAGAAGAAGCACCGGCUAACUCCGUGCCAGCAGCCGCGGUAAUACGGAGGGUGCAAGCGUUAAUCGGAAUUACUGGGCGUAAAGCGCACGCAGGCGGUUUGUUAAGUCAGAUGUGAAAUCCCCGGGCUCAACCUGGGAACUGCAUCUGAUACUGGCAAGCUUGAGUCUCGUAGAGGGGGGUAGAAUUCCAGGUGUAGCGGUGAAAUGCGUAGAGAUCUGGAGGAAUACCGGUGGCGAAGGCGGCCCCCUGGACGAAGACUGACGCUCAGGUGCGAAAGCGUGGGGAGCAAACAGGAUUAGAUACCCUGGUAGUCCACGCCGUAAACGAUGUCGACUUGGAGGUUGUGCCCUUGAGGCGUGGCUUCCGGAGCUAACGCGUUAAGUCGACCGCCUGGGGAGUACGGCCGCAAGGUUAAAACUCAAAUGAAUUGACGGGGGCCCGCACAAGCGGUGGAGCAUGUGGUUUAAUUCGAUGCAACGCGAAGAACCUUACCUGGUCUUGACAUCCACGGAAGUUUUCAGAGAUGAGAAUGUGCCUUCGGGAACCGUGAGACAGGUGCUGCAUGGCUGUCGUCAGCUCGUGUUGUGAAAUGUUGGGUUAAGUCCCGCAACGAGCGCAACCCUUAUCCUUUGUUGCCAGCGGUCCGGCCGGGAACUCAAAGGAGACUGCCAGUGAUAAACUGGAGGAAGGUGGGGAUGACGUCAAGUCAUCAUGGCCCUUACGACCAGGGCUACACACGUGCUACAAUGGCGCAUACAAAGAGAAGCGACCUCGCGAGAGCAAGCGGACCUCAUAAAGUGCGUCGUAGUCCGGAUUGGAGUCUGCAACUCGACUCCAUGAAGUCGGAAUCGCUAGUAAUCGUGGAUCAGAAUGCCACGGUGAAUACGUUCCCGGGCCUUGUACACACCGCCCGUCACACCAUGGGAGUGGGUUGCAAAAGAAGUAGGUAGCUUAACCUUCGGGAGGGCGCUUACCACUUUGUGAUUCAUGACUGGGGUGAAGUCGUAACAAGGUAACCGUAGGGGAACCUGCGGUUGGAUCACCUCCUUA
rnacentral:rRNA from 1 species